rnacentral:sRNA from 1 species
GGGGUGAGAGAGAGAGAGUGGCCAGUGCUGGCAGAAAGCACAGCCGCCUCGGGGCUCUGCAUCGUGGUGGGGCCAGGUGGGUCGGCAGGUGCUGGCUUGCGAGGUUGUCCUGCAUGCGGUCACUCGGGUAUUGAAUGAGUGCGAAAGUGGAUUUAAUACAGUCGCUGAGAAAAACAACAGCUUCACGAGACUGACCAGCCUGGUGAGAUAAACAUUUACCGUCAGACACGCUUUAGCUUUCUGGUCAUUGUGUGAGUUCUUUGGCACAUGCGCCCAGCCUCCUUCCCCACAGGGUCUCGCCUGGGGCAUUAGAAGCUGGAUUGUAACAUUUGUUUUAAAAGAUACUUUGUUAGGCUGUUGGUUCUCCUUACAAUCCCGGCUUUCCUUAGCAUGUGGUUCCCUUCAUUGUAUCUGGGUUUUUCUAUCUCAGUCUGUCCUUUAUACAAGCUUUUUCCUCUAGCACUGAUUAUAUUCCCCUUCCCCUUUUUCCAGAAUUCCAAAUUCUGACCUGUGCAUGCAUGCCUGUGUUGAGUACAUGCUGUUUGUCGGAUAUUUGGUGGUGGGGGGAGGGGAUCACAUUUCUGUUACUCUCGCAUUGUUUCCUUAGGAUGGAUUCUUAGAAGUGGAACUUCUUGAUUCAGGGAAUGAACACGUUUGCUAGUUACUGUCAAAAAUGCCUCUUGGAGAAGUUAUGCCGAACCACCCAACUGUCCUGGUCACAGAGCAGGCUUCUCUCGGCUUGGGGCUAGGGUUCUUUCUGGGGUCGUCCUUUUUUUUUUUUUUUUGAGACAGAGUUUUGCUCUUGUUGCUGAGGCUGGAGUGCAGUGGCACCAUCUCGUCUCACUGCAACCUCUGCCUCCUGGGUUCAAGUGAUUCUCCUGUCCCAGCCUUCCGAGUAGCUGGGAUUACAGGGAUGUAGCACCAUGCCUGGCUAAUUUUGUGUUUUUAGUGGAGACGGGGUUUCUCCAUGUUGGUCAGGCUGGUCUUGAACUCCCAGCCUCAGGUGAUCUGCCCGCCUCGGUCUCCCAAAGUGCUGGGAUUACAGGUGUGAGCCACCGUGCGUGGCCUCCCAGGGUCCUUCCUAAUGCAGGCUGCUUUCUCUCAUGUAACCAAGAGACAUACAUUCAUCCCCUACCACGUGCCAGGCUGCACUGCGUGCAAAUGCCCCUGCGCUCACGGGGACUGGAGGGAGCCAGGUGACAUGGAGCCCAGGAAGUGGCCAGAGCUCGGGAGGAAGGCAAAGAGGGGAAGAGGGCAUGCAGUCUUAGGCUUGGGGACCCAGGAGGCCUAGGGAAGCCUUGUAGAUACCCAGGUACAGCAUUUCUGGGAUCAGGAGCCAUGAUCCCAAGGCCUCUAAUACUUCAGAUAUGGCAGGGAGGCCAGGUGGAGAGACCUGGAGGAGUGAGGCCACAGAGUUGGGGGGCCAUGGCCGAGACUUCGGCUUCUAUCCAGAGUCAGAUGGGAGCUGUUGGAGGGUUGUCAGCAGAUGAGGGCCGUGCUCUGACUUGGGUGUUAAUAGGAUCAUGGUAGCUGGCUGCAGGUGUCCUGGGCCAAGGAGCAGGGAGACAGGAGGCAGAGAAGAGGGCGCUGGGUUGGACCUGGGACGCCUGGGGUGGUGAGAGGUGGUCGAUGCUGGUCAUGCUGUGAAGGAGUCUCAGUGAGUUCCAGGCGAAUGAGCAGAUUCAUUUUAGGGAGUGCCUGUGAAGAGCAAACGCUCUUUUUUGGUGUUGCUGCCAGAUCCAAGGAUUAAUGUCGUGCUUGCUGGUGGCCACGUUGUGCCCCGAGAUGAGACCCGGAAGCUGAUGGAAAGCCAAGACAUCUUCACCGGGACUCAGACUGAGCUGAUUGCUGGAGGCCAGCUCCUUUCCUGCCUCUCACCUCAGCCUGCUCCAGGGGUGGACAGUGUCCCAGAAGGAAGCCUGCCAGUGCACGGUGAACAGGCGCUGCCCAAGGACCAGCAAAUCACUGCCUUGGGGAGGGAGGAACCUGUGGCAAUAGAGAGCCCCAGACAGGAUCUUCUGGGAGAAAGCAGGUCUGAACCAGUGGAUGUGAAGCCAUUUGCUUCCUGCGAAGAUUCGGAAGCUCCAGUCCCAGCUGAGGAUGGGGGCAGUGAUGCUGGCAUGUGUGGCCUGUGUCAGAAGGCCCAGCUAGAGCGGAUGGGAGUCAGUGGUCCCAGCGGUUCAGACCUUUGGGCUGGGGCUGCCGUGGCCGAGCCCCAGGCCAAGGGUCAGCUGGCGGGGGGCAGCCUCCUGAUGCACUGCCCUUGCUACGGGAGUGAAUGGGGCUUGUGGUGGCGGAGCCAGGACUUGGCCCCCAGCCCCUCUGGGAUGGCAGGCCUCUCGUUUGGGACACCUACUCUAGAUGAGCCGUGGCUGGGAGUGAAAAACGACCGAGAAGAGCUGCAGACCUGCUUGAUUAAGGAGCAGCUGUCCCAGUUGAGCCUUGCGGGAGCCCUGGAUGUCCCCCACGCCGAACUCGUUCCAACAGAGUGCCCGGCUGUCACCGCUCCUGUGUCGUCCUGCGAUCUGGGAGGCAGAGACCUGUGCGGUGGCUGCACGGGCAGCUCCUCAGCCUGCUAUGCCUUGGCCGCCGACCUCCCUGGGGGCCUGGAAGCAGUGGAGGCCCAGGAGGUUGAUAUGAAUUCGUUUUCCUGGAACCUCAAGGAACUCUUUUUCAGUGACCAGACAGACCAAACGUCAUCAAAUUGUUCCUGUGCUACGUCUGAACUCAGAGAGACACCCUCUUCCUUGGCAGCGGGCUCCGAUCCAGAUGUAGGCAGUCUCCAGGAACAGGGGUCGUGUGUCCUGGAUGACAGGGAGCUGUUACUACUGACCGGCACCUGUGUUGACCUUGGCCAAGGCCGACGGUUCCGGGAGAGCUGUGUGGGACAUGAUCCAACAGAACUGCUUGAGGUUUGUUUGGUGUCCUCUGAGCAUUAUGCAGCAAGCGACAGAGAAAGCCCAGGACGCGUUCCUUCCACGUUGGAUGCUGGCCCUGAGGACACGUGCCCAUCAGCAGAGGAGCCAAGGCUGAACGUCCAGGUCACCUCCACGCCCGUGAUCGUGAUGCGCGGGGCUGCUGGCCUGCAGCGGGAGAUCCAGGAGGGUACCUACUCCGGGAGCUGCUACCAUCGAGACGGCUUACGGCUGAGUAUACAGUUUGAGGUGAGGCGGGUGGAGCUCCAGGGCCCCACACCUCUGUUCUGCUGCUGGCUGGUGAAAGACCUCCUCCACAGCCAACGCGACUCAGCCGCCAGGACCCGCCUGUUCCUUGCCAGCCUGCCCGGCUCCACCCACUCUACCGCUGCUGAGCUCACCGGACCCAGCCUGGUGGAAGUGCUCAGAGCCAGACCCUGGUUUGAGGAGCCCCCCAAGGCUGUGGAACUGGAGGGGUUGGCGGCCUGUGAGGGCGAGUACUCCCAAAAGUACAGUACCAUGAGCCCGCUGGGCAGUGGGGCCUUCGGCUUCGUGUGGACUGCUGUGGACAAGGAAAAAAACAAGGAGGUGGUGGUGAAGUUUAUUAAGAAGGAGAAGGUCUUGGAGGAUUGUUGGAUUGAGGAUCCCAAACUUGGGAAAGUUACUUUAGAGAUCGCAAUUCUAUCCAGGGUGGAGCACGCCAAUAUCAUCAAGGUAUUGGAUGUAUUUGAAAACCAAGGGUUCUUCCAGCUCGUGAUGGAGAAGCACGGCUCCGGCCUAGACCUCUUCGCUUUCAUUGACCGCCACCCCAGGCUGGAUGAGCCCCUGGCGAGCUACAUCUUCCGACAAGUGAGAGCAGGCCAGAGCCGUGUUGGUGUGAACGCAGGCCUGGGUGCCUGGGUCCGGUGGCUGCAAAGAUCAGUGAUCCAUACUCGGUUCUCUCUCUGAGCUGGAUCUAGCCUUCUGUGUGGGGAUUUCAUGGAGUAGGAUAUAUAUUUUGAGAAGAAAAUUCUAUGAUUGAAGUAGAGAAAGUGAGGUUGGGAAGGAAGGAUGAGGCCAGAUACAGUCCUGGAAUGACUGAGAAAGUAUGUUUAAUGGUUAAGGUUUAUUUACAUACAUAAAAUAUGCACAACAAUCAUAAAAAUUAACCAGUAAGGGUUAGGAUGCAGCCAGAGAGUGUCUCAAAGGCAUGUGUGCGGCACAGCGGCCUGCAGGCUGUAAGUGCUCACUGAAUGGUGUCUGUUCAGUUAAUCAACCAGCAAAAUUGAGAUCCUGACAUUCUCACUUUUCAGUAAGUAUUUGUCUUGAUCUGUUUCGUGUCUAAUGACAUAUUGAACUUCGGCCAUUAUUUUAUUGGAAUGGGAGAGUGAUGAUCCAAAUAGGAAGGCACCCUAGCAGAGGGACAGGGGGAAGAAAUGGUAACUCGUGUUGGGUUUUAAGGAGAGGGUGGUGGUUCCAUCCUGUACUGCUCCCAGCUCCCCUGAAAGAACUGGAGAAAUACCAGCAAAGGGCUGUGUAGACAACUCACAUUUGCUCUUGGAUUGUUUGCUGGGGACAACUCGAUUUCUAAUGACAGCUUCCGUGAAUCAACAUUUCUUCCUUAAAGCUACACACACUCGGGUUGUUGGGUUUCCGAAGUUUAGUUUCUCAGGCUCCUACUUGUAAGUUUCAGAUAUUAUGGUUCUGCCAAAAAAGGGUCACCUCUCUCCCUCUUCCGUGUUGGAAGGUGACGCCCUCCCUUUAGUUUGUGGCCAACACUUGUUUCUGAAACUUUUUACAGCAAACGGAGUAUCUGUAUGAGGUUAUGUUGAGGGUCACUUGUUAAAAGCUGCUGCCUGACAGCUGUUAAUUCUGGGGCUAGUGAGACACAUAAUUAUGGUGUUUAUACUCUAAAAUUUUUGCCAAAAGAAUCUCUACCCCUUUUGUAAAUAUAUAGACAUAAAUGUUAUUCUAUGUAAAUACAGAUUCACAAUUUUAUAAAGUAUAUGAUCGCACAUCAAUGUAUGUAGGAAUCAUGCCGGUUCUCAGGGCAUUGCCUGUCAGCUCCAGAUUCAUCAGGACCUGCUCAGCAGCGGGGUCGGGGAGCUGGGCCUGGGAACAGCCCUGGCUUGGUUCAGGCCGCUCCAGGGCAGCAUGGCCAGUCCAGGGCACAGAAGCAUCUGCAGGAAGAGCAGCUUUCUUCAAGUCGCUCUUUAGCCCUUUGUGGUUAAUCUCUCAGUACUAGUUAAUAAAUCUUAAUGAAACUUUCCAUGUUCAA